AUUGAACGCUGGCGGCAGGCCUAACACAUGCAAGUCGAGCGGAUGAAGGGAGCUUGCUCCUGGAUUCAGCGGCGGACGGGUGAGUAAUGCCUAGGAAUCUGCCUGGUAGUGGGGGAUAACGUCCGGAAACGGGCGCUAAUACCGCAUACGUCCUGAGGGAGAAAGUGGGGGAUCUUCGGACCUCACGCUAUCAGAUGAGCCUAGGUCGGAUUAGCUAGUUGGUGGGGUAAAGGCCUACCAAGGCGACGAUCCGUAACUGGUCUGAGGGGAUGAUCAGUCACACUGGAACUGAGACACGGUCCAGACUCCUACGGGAGGCAGCAGUGGGGAAUAUCGGACAAUGGGCGAAAGCCUGAUCCAGCCAUGCCGCGUGUGUGAAGAAGGUCUUCGGAUUGUAAAGCACUUUAAGUUGGGAGGAAGGGCAGUAAGUUAAUACCUUGCUGUUUUGACGUUACCAACAGAAUAAGCACCGGCUAACUUCGUG
rnacentral:rRNA from 1 species